UACAGAGGGUGCGAGCGUUGUCCGGAAUCACUGGGCGUAAAGGGCGCGUAGGUGGUGGCUUAAGCGUGCGGUGAAAGCUCGGGGCUCAACUCCGAGUCGGCCGUGCGAACUGGGCUCACUGGAGCAUAGUAGAGGCAGGUGGAAUUCCGGGUGUAGCGGUGGCAUGCGUAGAGAUCCGGAAGAACACCGGUGGCGAAGGCGGCCUGCUGGGCUAUGGCUGACACUGAGGCGCGACAGCGUGGGGAGCAAACAGG
rnacentral:rRNA from 1 species